GGGUUGUGAGGUUAAGCGACUAAGCGUACACGGUGGAUGCCCUGGCAGUCAGAGGCGAUGAAGGACGUGCUAAUCUGCGAUAAGCGUCGGUAAGGUGAUAUGAACCGUUAUAACCGGCGAUUUCCGAAUGGGGAAACCCAGUGUGUUUCGACACACUAUCAUUAACUGAAUCCAUAGGUUAAUGAGGCGAACCGGGGGAACUGAAACAUCUAAGUACCCCGAGGAAAAGAAAUCAACCGAGAUUCCCCCAGUAGCGGCGAGCGAACGGGGAGGAGCCCAGAGCCUGAAUCAGUGUGUGUGUUAGUGGAAGCGUCUGGAAAGGCGCGCGAUACAGGGUGACAGCCCCGUACACAAAAAUGCACAUAUUGUGAGCUCGAUGAGUAGGGCGGGACACGUGGUAUCCUGUCUGAAUAUGGGGGGACCAUCCUCCAAGGCUAAAUACUCCUGACUGACCGAUAGUGAACCAGUACCGUGAGGGAAAGGCGAAAAGAACCCCGGCGAGGGGAGUGAAAAAGAACCUGAAACCGUGUACGUACAAGCAGUGGGAGCCUCUUUUAUGGGGUGACUGCGUACCUUUUGUAUAAUGGGUCAGCGACUUAUAUUCUGUAGCAAGGUUAACCGAAUAGGGGAGCCGAAGGGAAACCGAGUCUUAACUGGGCGUUAAGUUGCAGGGUAUAGACCCGAAACCCGGUGAUCUAGCCAUGGGCAGGUUGAAGGUUGGGUAACACUAACUGGAGGACCGAACCGACUAAUGUUGAAAAAUUAGCGGAUGACUUGUGGCUGGGGGUGAAAGGCCAAUCAAACCGGGAGAUAGCUGGUUCUCCCCGAAAGCUAUUUAGGUAGCGCCUCGUGAACUCAUCUCCGGGGGUAGAGCACUGUUUCGGCAAGGGGGUCAUCCCGACUUACCAACCCGAUGCAAACUGCGAAUACCGGAGAAUGUUAUCACGGGAGACACACGGCGGGUGCUAACGUCCGUCGUGAAGAGGGAAACAACCCAGACCGCCAGCUAAGGUCCCAAAGUCAUGGUUAAGUGGGAAACGAUGUGGGAAGGCCCAGACAGCCAGGAUGUUGGCUUAGAAGCAGCCAUCAUUUAAAGAAAGCGUAAUAGCUCACUGGUCGAGUCGGCCUGCGCGGAAGAUGUAACGGGGCUAAACCAUGCACCGAAGCUGCGGCAGCGACACUAUGUGUUGUUGGGUAGGGGAGCGUUCUGUAAGCCUGUGAAGGUGUGCUGUGAGGCAUGCUGGAGGUAUCAGAAGUGCGAAUGCUGACAUAAGUAACGAUAAAGCGGGUGAAAAGCCCGCUCGCCGGAAGACCAAGGGUUCCUGUCCAACGUUAAUCGGGGCAGGGUGAGUCGACCCCUAAGGCGAGGCCGAAAGGCGUAGUCGAUGGGAAACAGGUUAAUAUUCCUGUACUUGGUGUUACUGCGAAGGGGGGACGGAGAAGGCUAUGUUGGCCGGGCGACGGUUGUCCCGGUUUAAGCGUGUAGGCUGGUUUUCCAGGCAAAUCCGGAAAAUCAAGGCUGAGGCGUGAUGACGAGGCACUACGGUGCUGAAGCAACAAAUGCCCUGCUUCCAGGAAAAGCCUCUAAGCAUCAGGUAACAUCAAAUCGUACCCCAAACCGACACAGGUGGUCAGGUAGAGAAUACCAAGGCGCUUGAGAGAACUCGGGUGAAGGAACUAGGCAAAAUGGUGCCGUAACUUCGGGAGAAGGCACGCUGAUAUGUAGGUGAAGUCCCUCGCGGAUGGAGCUGAAAUCAGUCGAAGAUACCAGCUGGCUGCAACUGUUUAUUAAAAACACAGCACUGUGCAAACACGAAAGUGGACGUAUACGGUGUGACGCCUGCCCGGUGCCGGAAGGUUAAUUGAUGGGGUUAGCGCAAGCGAAGCUCUUGAUCGAAGCCCCGGUAAACGGCGGCCGUAACUAUAACGGUCCUAAGGUAGCGAAAUUCCUUGUCGGGUAAGUUCCGACCUGCACGAAUGGCGUAAUGAUGGCCAGGCUGUCUCCACCCGAGACUCAGUGAAAUUGAACUCGCUGUGAAGAUGCAGUGUACCCGCGGCAAGACGGAAAGACCCCGUGAACCUUUACUAUAGCUUGACACUGAACAUUGAGCCUUGAUGUGUAGGAUAGGUGGGAGGCUUUGAAGUGUGGACGCCAGUCUGCAUGGAGCCGACCUUGAAAUACCACCCUUUAAUGUUUGAUGUUCUAACGUGGACCCGUGAUCCGGGUUGCGGACAGUGUCUGGUGGGUAGUUUGACUGGGGCGGUCUCCUCCUAAAGAGUAACGGAGGAGCACGAAGGUUGGCUAAUCCUGGUCGGACAUCAGGAGGUUAGUGCAAUGGCAUAAGCCAGCUUGACUGCGAGCGUGACGGCGCGAGCAGGUGCGAAAGCAGGUCAUAGUGAUCCGGUGGUUCUGAAUGGAAGGGCCAUCGCUCAACGGAUAAAAGGUACUCCGGGGAUAACAGGCUGAUACCGCCCAAGAGUUCAUAUCGACGGCGGUGUUUGGCACCUCGAUGUCGGCUCAUCACAUCCUGGGGCUGAAGUAGGUCCCAAGGGUAUGGCUGUUCGCCAUUUAAAGUGGUACGCGAGCUGGGUUUAGAACGUCGUGAGACAGUUCGGUCCCUAUCUGCCGUGGGCGCUGGAGAACUGAGGGGGGCUGCUCCUAGUACGAGAGGACCGGAGUGGACGCAUCACUGGUGUUCGGGUUGUCAUGCCAAUGGCACUGCCCGGUAGCUAAAUGCGGAAGAGAUAAGUGCUGAAAGCAUCUAAGCACGAAACUUGCCCCGAGAUGAGUUCUCCCUGACUCCUUGAGAGUCCUGAAGGAACGUUGAAGACGACGACGUUGAUAGGCCGGGUGUGUAAGCGCAGCGAUGCGUUGAGCUAACCGGUACUAAUGAACCGUGAGGCUUAACCUUACAACGCCGAAGCUGUU
rnacentral:rRNA from 1 species